UUGCACGCUGGCGGCAGGCCUAACACAUGCCAGUCGAGCGGAUGAAGGGAGCUUGCUCCUGGAUUCAGCGGCGGACGGGUGAGUAAUGCCUAGUAAUCUGCCUGGUAGUGGGGGAUAACGUCCGGAAACGGGCGCUAAUACCGCAUACGUCCUGAGGGAGAAAGUGGGGGAUCUUCGGACCUCACGCUCUCAGAUGAGCCUAGGUCGGAUUAGCUAGUUGGUGGGGUAAAGGCCUACCAAGGCGACGAUCCGUAACUGGUCUGAGAGGAUGAUCAGUCACACUGGAACUGAGACACGGUCCAGACUCCUACGGGAGGCAGCAGUGGGGAAUAUUGGACAAUGGGCGAAAGCCUGAUCCAGCCAUGCCGCGUGUGUGAAGAAGGUCUUCGGAUUGUAAAGCACUUUAAGUGGGGAGGAAGGGCAGUAAGUUAAUACCUUGCUGUUUUGACGUUACCAACAGAAUAAGCACCGGCUAACUUCGUG
rnacentral:rRNA from 1 species